rnacentral:rRNA from 1 species
CACGUAGGGGGCAAGCGUUGUCCGGAUUUAUUGGGCGUAAAGAGCGUGUAGGCGGUUCGGUAAGUCUGUCGUGAAAUCCUGAGGCUCAACCUUGGACGUGCGAUGGAUACUGCCGGGCUAGAGGAUGGUAGAGGCGAGUGGAAUUCUCGGUGUAGCGGUGAAAUGCGCAGAUAUCGGGAGGAACACCAGUAGCGAAGGCGGCUCGCUGGGCCAUUCCUGACGCUGAGACGCGAAAGCUAGGGGAGCGAACAGG